GACUGAUCAAAACUCCUAUUGGAAACUGUUGCUUCCUUUGUGGGCUUCCAGGGUGUGUGUGAUUAGUCUGUUGGUUCUGACAGAAGUCCUUAAAGGAAACAGCCAUAGGGCAGGAUUUCUCAGUUCUAGGCCGCUGCCGUUCUCUGUGCUGAGGGACUGCCUUGAAGCUUGAGGUGUUUGCCUCUACACUCUGCCCUCCUCAGUGCUCAGAAACAUGGCCAGCUGUUCCUAACAUCACCCUUAGCUUGGGGGAGGCGCUUGAGGCUGGACUGGUUUUGGGAAGUAGCAGCAUGUCUUUUCCAAGCCUUUCCUCACGUACGGAUAUGAGCUACACAAAAGUCACAGCCUGACCCCAAGGAUUGUCGGGCUCAGAACUUUCUUUCUGUCUUUAUCCUCGUUAUCACACAGAUGGUAGCGAAGGCUCUAACCUGACUCCCAUGUUACAGAAUGGACUCUCAGUGUCAGUGGCCUCACUGUUCUCAGGUAGCCAUGUUGGAGGUGUGGAGGCGCUUCUGCAUGCAUGCGUGGGGCUGUUUGCACCAGCUUGUGUACAUACGUGAUCUUGUGACACUCAUCAAGGUUAGGAGAACUACGUGCUCUGGAGAACACUAGACUUAAUGCAGGAGCAAUUUGGAUAUUCCUAUGCCCUUUUCCAUAUGCCUAAAGUCCUUGCCAUCUCCCCUCACAGUGAUAAUUUUAGAUUAGGUAGUCAUGUGACUGGGAGGGUGUCACAAUUUAGAAAAGACUGAUCAAAACUAGAAAAACAGUUAUGUCUUGGAUUUUUCUUUUUUGGUAUUAGUGGUGCAUAAAGGCAUAUUAUUGCACAGCAGUUUGAAUAGGGAACACUGAGUGUUAAGAGUUUUUUAUAUGUAAUAGGGAGGUGAAGCCACAGGAGAGAAGUGUCUAAGGAGUAAAGAAAACCAUAGAGAACACAGAUGGCCGCCUCUCCCAAGGGCUAGCACCAGGCUGUGUCCCCAGGGCAGCGCCAGGCUGUGUCCCCAAGUCUGAGAUGGAGGCGCCUGCAGAGAAGCAUCUGAAGUCUCAGAGCUGCCUUGAGUCACCUUGUGGGUGCUGUCCAGAGGGAGAAGCCCAGCUGUGACAGCUCCACUGGGAAGCUCUUCUCAGUGCCUUACCUCAGCUCAGGCAGGACUAGGAGGAGCAGCCAGCGGAGAAGGGCUGCCCCGGCACUUACCAUAAAGCCCUCCAAGAUGCACUGUGGGAAAUCGCCGUGAGAGGAACCCCUCAUUGCUCUGCGCUCCUUGGGCAGUAUCAGUGUGCUGAGCUGUUAGCUGAGGUAGGAGCGCAGCUGACUGCAACAGGACAAAGGCCUUCCUCCUCAGUGUCCUCCCAGCGCCCUCUACACACAAGGUUUUACCUAUGCCAGCUGCCCCGGGAGACAUGUUUGAAGCACAGAUCUACAGUUCAAAGGCAAUAAAUUGAAACCUAAUAUAAUAUACAGAAAAGGGUACUCGUGAACUGGUUUUUUUUUCCUGAUAAGAAAAUCAGGUUUUGCUAAAUAGUUUUCUGUCAACUUGAUACAAGCUGGAGUUCUCUGAAAGAAGGGAACCUCAAUUGAGAAAACACCCCCAUAAGUUUCAGCUGUCAGUCCUCUGUGGGCGGGGCAUCCCUGGGCUGGUGGUCCUAGGCUCUUUCUAUAAGAAAGCAGCCUGAGCAAGCCAGUAAACGGUACCUCUCUAUGGCAUCUGCAUCAGCUCGCCUCUAGGUUCCUGCCCUACUUGAGUUUCUGUCCUGACUUCCCUUGGUGAUGGACUGUCACCUGAAAGUGUAGGCUGAAAUCAACCCUUUCUUCCCCAAGUCGCUUUGGUCAUGGGGUUUUGUCACAGCAAUCCCCUAGCUAGGAUGAAGUCCAAGGCCAUCAAUUGUCUCUCCUCUCACUGUUAAAUAAAAGUUUAACAGUAAUAAUAGUUCUCCAUUUUACAGUUUUUCUCUUUGAAUUAACAAUUACAGAGAAUUCACUGGCAUUGCAUCUCCAGCAUGCAUGUGGAUGUCUGAGGGCAACCAUGUGGAUCCUGGGGUUUCAACUCAAGACCCUGUGGCUGGCAGCGGUCACCUUUACCUCUGGAGCCAUGUUGCCAACCCCUGUUUUUUUUUUGUUUUUUUUGUUUUUUUUUUUUGUAUUUUAUAAAUUUUCCCAGUCAGUAAUAAUUGCCUUAUUCUAUGAAAAGCAUCAAAAUGCUUCAAAUAAAUUCUCCUCGAAAAACAUAUUUGCUUUGAAAAUACGUUUGUUUUUGUUCAAAAGAUUAAUAAGAAUGUUUAUAAUUGUUUUAAACUUACUAGGAAGGUGCAGACUUCUUUCUGUUCUCUCCAGAACACUUUCCUCCUUGUCUGUUUUAGACUUGGUAUUGUUUUAUCAUUGUGCUCAAUUAGUGGUCCACCCACAUCAACUUAGUCAUCUGCUUGAACUAACUUGAGUCAUCGGGUGCCUCUCGGGCUCAGUAAAGUCAGCAUGUUAGAUGGGUGUCAGGCCCCUACCCCCUGGGCUAUCAGGACUGCCUCCACUCUGCUCUGGGGUAGGGUUCUUAUGCCAAAGCAGUUGCAGUAUUUAUGAUUAGCUGAAAGAUCCCUGUCGCAUACCUCCUCCCUACCUUUUUAUGUAUCUUGUGAAAAAGGACAAUGAACAGAUUAAAGCUAGCUUUAUUAUAGGCUCU
rnacentral:lncRNA from 1 species